rnacentral:rRNA from 1 species
UACGAAGGGGGCUAGCGUUGUUCGGAAUCACUGGGCGUAAAGGGCGCGUAGGCGGCCGAUCAAGUCGGGGGUGAAAGCCUGUGGCUCAACCACAGAAUUGCCUUCGAUACUGUUUGGCUUGAGACCGGAAGAGGUAAGUGGAACUGCGAGUGUAGAGGUGAAAUUCGUAGAUAUUCGGAAGAACACCAGUGGCGAAGGCGGACUU